rnacentral:misc_RNA from 1 species
GAUGAAGAACGCAGUGAAAUGCGAUAAGUAAUGUGAAUUGCAGAAUUCAGUGAAUCAUCGAAUCUUUGAACGCACAUUGCGCCCGCCAGUAUUCUGGCGGGCAUGCCUGUUCGAGCGUCAUUUCAACCCUCAAGCCCCCGGGCUUGGUGUUGGGGAUCGGCGUGCCCUCGCGGCGCGCCGUCCCCUAAAUCUAGUGGCGGUCUCGCUGUAGCUUCCUCUGCGUAGUAGCAACACUCGCACUGGAUCGCAGCGCGGCCACGCCGUUAAACCCCCCACUUCUGAAAGUUUGACCUCGGAUCAGGUAGGAAUACCCGCUGAACUUAAGCAUAUCAAUAAGCGAGGA